UUAUAUUAAGUGAAAUAAGUCAGAGAAAGACUGAUACUGUAUGACAUCGCUUAUAUGUAGAUUCUAAAAAUGCCGUAGAAACAGAGACUAGAAUGGUGGUUACCAGGGGCUGGAGGAUUGGGGAAAAGCGGAGAUGUUGGGCAGAAGAUACAAACUCCAGUUCUAAGUCAUCCUCCUACUAUUGGAAAUUUUGUUGAAGAAACAUGGGAAGAUUUAGAAAUUUAUAAUUUGCAAUCCAGCCCUCAAAAUACCAGGAAAGUACAACUAGUCCUUCUGGGGAUGUUUUCUCAAUUCUUCUUCAGAUUUCAUAGAAGAAACCUGAGGUCUGUGAUUAAAAGAAGAAACCAAGGCUCAAGGAGAUUAAGUAAUUUGCCUACAACUGCAUCACUUAGGAAGUGAAGCCAGAGCCUGAAGAAAGCAGUUUGAAGAAGGCAACCUUCCUCCAAGUCCUUCACCUACACUUUAGAUUUAUCUUCCUUGCUAGCUUUUGAAGUGUCUGAAAAAUGGGGGGCCUGGGUGGCUCAGUUGGUUGAGGGUCAUGAUCUCACGGUCUGUGA